GUGCUAACGCCGGGAGCACCUCUUCCGGUCCUUUUGCAGGUUAAAAGAUGAACAUGCCCUAGACGAAAUAGAUUCGAGGAUUCAAUCCUUCGACCGAGCCAAGAAUUGUCAAUCGAACCCGCUCGUAGCCGACAUGAGUCGGGGUUAUUCUAUGCACUGCUGCUAUCAGCCAUCCUCAAACACAUACAAGGUCUACAGCUCAAAACCCCAAAGAAUUACAAAUAGAUUUUGUAAUAACAUUCAAUCCGGUCGGAUCAC
rnacentral:lncRNA from 1 species